rnacentral:rRNA from 1 species
AACGCGAAGAACCUUACCAGGGCUUGACAUCCCGGUGACCGGACUAGAGAUAGUCUUUUCCCUUCGGGGACGCCGGUGACAGGUGGUGCAUGGUUGUCGUCAGCUCGUGUCGUGAGAUGUUGGGUUAAGUCCCGCAACGAGCGCAACCCUUACUGUUAGUUGCUAGCAUUUAGUUGAGCACUCUAAGGAGACUGCCGGGGAUAACCCGGAGGAAGGUGGGGAUGACGUCAAAUCAUCAUGCCCCUUAUGACCAGGGCUACACACGUGCUACAAUGGCGUAAACAGAGGGAAGCGAAGGAGUGAUCCGGAGCAAAUCCCAAAAAUAACGUCUCAGUUCGGAUUGUAGUCUGCAACUCGACUACAUGAAGCUGGAAUCGCUAGUAAUCGCGAAUCAGAAUGUCGCGGUGAAUACGUUCCCGGGUCUUGUACACACGC